rfam:Martelella sp. AD-3, complete genome.
GGAAUUCGAAGGGCAUUCUCCUCCUCCUCCCAAAAUGCCCUUCGAUAGGUCGGUGAUACUCCUCCUCCUCCCAGUCACCGGCCACAUCAAAUGGCGCUCACCGGAUCCUCCUCCCCCGGUGAGCGCUAUUU